rnacentral:rRNA from 1 species
UACAGAGGGGGCACGCGUGGUUCGGAAUUACUGGGCGUAACGGGCGCGUAGGCGGCCUUCUAAGUCGAACGUGAAAUCCCCGGGCUCAACCCGGGAACUGCGUCCGAUACUGGAAGGCUUGAAUCCGGGAGAGGGAUGCGGAAUUCCAGGUGUAGCGGUGAAAUGCGUAGAUAUCUGGAGGAACACCGGUGGCGAAGGCGGCAUCCUGGACCGGUAUUGACGCUGAUGCGCGAAAGCCAGGGGAGCAAACGGG